rnacentral:rRNA from 1 species
AGUGAACGCUGGCGGUAGGCCUAACACAUGCAAGUCGAACGGCAGCACAGGAGAGCUUGCUCUCUGGGUGGCGAGUGGCGGACGGGUGAGGAAUACAUCGGAAUCUACUUUUUCGUGGGGGAUAACGUAGGGAAACUUACGCUAAUACCGCAUACGACCUACGGGUGAAAGCAGGGGACCUUCGGGCCUUGCGCGAUUGACUGAGCCGAUGUCGGAUUAGCUAGUUGGCGGGGUAAAGGCCCACCAAGGCGACGAUCCGUAGCUGGUCUGAGAGGAUGAUCAGCCACACUGGAACUGAGACACGGUCCAGACUCCUACGGGAGGCAGCAGUGGGGAAUAUUGGACAAUGGGCGCAAGCCUGAUCCAGCCAUACCGCGUGGGUGAAGAAGGCCUUCGGGUUGUAAAGCCCUUUUGUUGGGAAAGAAAUCCAGCUGGCUAAUACCCGGUUGGGAUAACGGUACCCAAAGAAUAAGCACCGGCUAACUUCGUGCCAGCCGCCGCAGUAA